AUUGAACGCUGGCGGCAUGCCUUACACAUGCAAGUCGAACGGCAGCACGGGAGCAAUCCUGGUGGCGAGUGGCGAACGGGUGAGUAAUAUAUCGGAACGUGCCCAGUCGUGGGGGAUAACGCAGCGAAAGCUGUGCUAAUACCGCAUACGAUCUAUGGAUGAAAGCGGGGGAUCGCAAGACCUCGCGCGAUUGGGAGCGGCCGAUAUCAGAUUAGCUAGUUGGUGGGGUAAAGGCCCACCAAGGCGACGAUCUGUAGCUGGUCUGAGAGGACGACCAGCCACACUGGAACUGAGACACGGUCCAGACUCCUACGGGAGGCAGCAGUGGGGAAUUUUGGACAAUGGCGCAAGCCUGAUCCAGCAAUGCCGCGUGCAGGAUGAAGGCCUC
rnacentral:rRNA from 1 species